rnacentral:lncRNA from 1 species
UUUUCUCUCUUGGAUUCCCUUAUUUUAUUUUCCUUUUUCUCCUGGCUGCCUCGCUGCCCUCAAUUCUGUCGGUCUUCACAGCUUUCCACCUGCAAGGGCCCGCAUCAAUCCCUUCUAUCUCUCCUCUUGUUCCAAAAUUAUUCCCCCAGCUGUCUCCCUAUUUUUCUUUUCUGACCUUUUACUUUUCUUCCGCUGGCAGCCUACCUUCUUGGAUUCUCCUUUCACAAUAAAUACAAAUUUGAUUUGUAUCAUAAACUCUAAAUUAGUAGCAGUUUGGGAAUUAAGAACAAAUUCAAGUAACAAAUCCAAAAUCAAUAUUCUAUGAAACAAUCAAUUCAAUGCAUAUAAAAUAAACCAAAAUAAAACCCAAU